ensembl:lncRNA
GUAAGUGCUGCUUUUUUAAAUCAGAGUAAACUUGUGGUUGAAUUUUUCACUUCCGAUACACACUGAUGAUCAGUCAUAUUUGGAAUUCCACACAGAAUUCACCUUUGACACUGUCUGCGAACACAAAGCACUAGGGUUCAGCUGAAGGUCAAACGUGACCAUUGGUACACCUGUUGACAUGUGACAGGAAUUUCUAAAUGUUUUCCUCCAUUUGCAUCUUCGUUAUGGUAACGAUGUGAGGUUCUGGUGCUAUGAUAGCACUCAUAGUCAUUGGGAUAAUCAUCAUUCUGAUCAUCUUACUCAUCAUUCUCAAGACCUACAACAGGAGAACCCAUGCGUCCAGGCUGCUCGCUGGUGUUGGAGGCUCCAAACCUCAUAAAAAGUCCUCCUCCACAACACAGGUGAACAUGCGUAUGAGUCACCUGGCGCCCAGUUCCGUGUCUGGGAGUUUCGUGCUGUCGUCCAUCCCGUCAGAGAAUGGCUUCCGUCUCCCACGGGUAGACUUGGCCAAUGUUGACCAUAACAGUUUGGAGCAGUACAGCACAGCCAGCGGCUCUACGGUUGUCAGCGUACACGACGCGCCUUCCAUGGAGAACACGUAGGAGCUGCCGCUGUCACAGCCAGAGCCUCAUGGAACAGACUUCAGAAUCGACGUGCAUGUCAUAUCACAAGGAUUAAUAGAAACAACACCACAAUGAACAAAGGAGCACCGUGCUGAACGCUUGAGCGAGACAGUCACACCAUACUACUGUAGGCCACUUGUGUAAUCCAGCAUAGAGACCUGGGCGAAGGUUCACAUUGUACCACCUCGGGUCAGAGGCCAGAACGCGCUGAUCUCCAGGCUCCAUUGCUGCCCAUGGCCGUUUUACUUAUAACCCACAAUAAUUCUGUGUGAAGGAAGCGAUGCGAAGAACACAAUGAGAAUUUGAGACGGGUUAAAAUAAGCGGGUUGUAGGCUAUAUGUCAAAUUAGUUAACGCAGCCAUGUCAACUGUUUAUAUUAAUUCAACAGAUGAUUUUGCACUGACCGUUGCUGUUCUUGUGAUUGUUGUGACACGUCUUUCAUGAACCUUAAUUGAAUGUGAAUCUUUCCUAGGUUUUGAUUUAAAG